GGUCCCGUAGUUCAACGGAUAGAAUAGGAGUUUCCUAAACUCUAGAUAGCAGUUCGAUUCUGCUCGGGACUA
rnacentral:tRNA from 1 species